UUAAUGCUGAAAUUAGGGUUUGGAUUUCCAAUGCCAAAUAUUUUCUUACUUCUCUACGUUCACCCUAUCAUGAAUUCAGGCGCCGGCUCUAAGUUCUCCCUGAAUUCAUCUUCCCAAGAUGGCCGUUCAAGCUCCCCAUAUGAUGAUUCAACAUCGGUUAGGAUUCUCUUCUAUUUUAUUUUUGCUUUCUUCUCCUGAUUCGAUUCCAUCCCUUCUCUCAUUAGGUUGGGGCCCUUUUCGAAGGGACAGUGAGUCUUCAAAUCCCUUACUUCUCUCUAUCCCUGGCGAAAAGAGACGCGUCAACUGAAAACUCGGAACAAUGGCAACGAAUUCGAUGUGGUAGUUUCGGUUGCUUCUUACUGUUGCUUAUCCAAGUCGACGAAUGGUGUUCGUUUUCUGGUAGUUCAGGUUGGUUUUUUUUUUCCUUAUUACUUGUUUUUGUUCUUUUUCUCGAUAAUUAUUGUUUUUAUACUUUGUUUUUAAUUUAUUGUUGUUGGUUUUGCUGCAUUUUGCCUUAUUGGAUUUUCUUUUGAUUUUGGUAUACCGUCCAGUGUUGGAUCGAAGAGAAGGGGAUUUUUUUUUGUCUCUAUUGAUCUCUUAGUAACAGGAGUUUGCAGGAACACAGACGAGUUUGCAAUCGACUUGGAUAAGGGGGAUUUUCCUUGUCUAAAUUGGAAAAAAGGGGAAGGGAUUCAAGGUCCCAGAACUAGGUAGAUGUUUACUUUUUUAUUGAUUCAUACUCUGUUUAUCGAUUCAGUCUCUCUUGAUUCAGGUAGAUGUUUACUUUUUGUUCAUCUAUUUCUUUUAGUUGCCCUUUGGGGUUCAUCUGUAUGAUCGAUUUCUUUUUGGAUUUGAUUCAUACUCUCGAUUCAGGUACCUGUUUUCUGUUUGAUCGAUUCAGGUACAAACCAUAUUUAAUAUUCAUAAUCUGCACAAGCCUUGCUGCUUUCUUAUUCUGCACAAACCUUACUGCACAUGCAUUCGUAUUUAACCUUACUGAACAUACAUUCAUAAGUAACCUUAAUAUAUUUGACAGUCAACCAACAUACAUUUUGAUAGGUGAUUAUCCAGUUUGUUGGAACUGGUGAAUUAUGUAGGGAGGUGAUCUACCCUGGUGCUCUCAAUAUCUAUACCAUUUUUGGCACUCUAGAAAACAACUCCGGCUUUAAAAUCCGAAUCUGAGUAACAUUUUUCUGAUCCAAGUAACAUUAAAGCCUAUACACAAUUCUAACCUCAAUCAAUGUUCCCAAUUCCAACGACCAUUGUAGAAGGCCUUGCCGAAAGAAUGGUGCACUGGGCCAAAUUGGUAUCCAGUGAGAUGUUUUUUGGAUGACAAUGGGUCUCAACAGUAUUAAUCUAUUUGCUAUUUGUUUUAGGUUUUAUAGUUGCAAUUGAGCACCACCAAUUUAUAUCUUUGCUAUUUGCUAUUCGUUUUUCAGUUGCAAUAUGGUGAUUCCCGUUCCUAUUCAGGUUUUUCUUCCAAUUGAUUUUUGGGUUUCCACCAUAUGAGAUAAGUAUUCAUGUAACCUUUUCUGGUUUGUGGGGAUUGAAGUAAAUUAUAUUGUUGAAUUUAGUAGGUUAUAAGUAAGAAUCGGCAAAAAUGAAGUAUACAACUUCCUCUCAAUCCAUGGGAAAAGUGUUAGAUACAAGCUAGAACAAUUCAUAUUUGAUGCAUUUCCAUAUGCACCUUCAACAACACUUUUUGAGAUCAUCCCCUUAUUCUCAUCAAAUUGUGUUUUAGCAAAAUGGAAGAAAAAGUGUCACUUUUCCCUGUUUGUUUCUUACAUAGGUAUUGCUUGAAGAAGAAUUUUCCCCUGUAAAAAAUGUGAAUGGUCCAACUUGGACACUCAAAACAAUGCUUGACUUAUGGUUCUGAGUCUACAUACAAGUCGAGUGGUUGUAGCAAGCGGCUUCUUAACACAUUAAGUGCCUUUUAUAUUCAACUGAUGUUGAGGUUUCACCGCUUGUUUCAUAUGCCGAAGAAAAUCUUGGAGCGAUUUGUCGUGGUAGUACGUUUCAUGCACCUUGGUAGUAUACAGGGAGGUUAUGGGAAAAUCUUAAAAAAUGAAAAACAGAAAAAUACUCCAUCAAUCGCUAGAUCAAUUGAUCCAAUGGAUACGAUUAAAGAGGAUAUUACAACUUUAUUUUUAAAUAAAAAAUUAGGAAAUAUGAUCAAAAUUCGAACGAAAUAAAUUACACCAAAAAAUAAUCAUAUUUUUCUCGUUAAUUUGACAUCCAUAUUCAUAUAAUUUUACCCGUUUUUCAUAGUUUUCUAGUUUUCCAUUUAUUUAACGUUUUCUCCUGAACUUGAGCCUAUAUAAUUAGGGUUGGGUUUAUGUGAAAA